UACAGGAUCAGAAGGAGAAUCGCGCCA
rnacentral:sRNA from 1 species